ensembl:lncRNA
GCAGGGAGGGGUGAGCCUGGUGUGGAAUAGUCCCGGGGCUGCUGGGAGUGGUGCUUCUGUUGGCAGAGACCUCAGUGAGACAGGGCUUAUGAUGAGGCCCAGUCCAGGGUUUGGGCUGGAGAGAAAUGCGUGAAUCCAAGAGUCAGGGAUGCAAGAUGCCAUGCUGUAAAGAUCUGAAAGACAGAGCUGCAGAGCCAGCGUUCAUCAUGACUCAGUUGCCCACCCAAGAGCUCUGAUGAGGAAUGGCCACACUACUAAAGACCGACACAAGUCUGUGACUUCCCAGGAAACACUUAUACUUCCUAGCCUCUCUUAGAGCCAGAUGAUACUCUGGCCACCUGAUGUGAAGAACUGACUCGCUGGAAAAGACCCCGAUGCUGGGAAAGAUUGAAGGCAGGAGAAGGGGGCGACAGAGGAUGGAUGGCGUCACCAACUUGAUGGACAUGAGUUUGAGCAAGCUCCGGGAGUUGGUGAUAGAUAGGGAAGCCUAUUGUGCUGCAGUCUACGGGGUCACAAAGAGUCAGACACGAC